rnacentral:tRNA from 1 species
CGCCCCGUAGGUAGGGGACGCCAAGGUACUCACGCGCCGGCCAACCCGAGCAAGCGCCUCAAGAUCAAAUCGCAGGGUUAUAGGUUCAAGUCCUAUCGGGGGAGCCA